AUGUUCAGCAUCUAUUCCCUGGCUGUUUGUCACUGUGGGGGCUGUGCACAGGAACCCUGGGGUCCCCCUGGGCCAGGUUUGGGGGUCCCAUCACCAGUGACACUCUGUGAUGCUCCAGCCCUUGCCUUGGAGAGCAUCACUCAUGUUUCUCAUCCCACUUCUCUGCUUACAGACACGAUGUCUCUUCUGUACAUGAGCUGGCCUGAGCUGAAGGAUUCCACGCUCCUACAGCAGCGUCAUGGAAAACACCACUUGCCACAGCACAGAACGAGUUCCUAUAACGCAGCUGAACAACCUGCUGUGCAACCUUCCUCCACAGGGAUUCAUGGGCAUAUUUUGAAAGCCUCUUUGCUCCAAGCCCCCACAAAAAAAAAAGGAAAAUCAAACCAAACAUACUUUGGAAUAAGCUACUGGAGCAGAUGACUUGGAAAUGGCUAGCGCUGGCGUUGGAUGCAGGCAUAUAUCCCCUGAUUCUGUGGACUUGAAAGCAAGUGAGCACAGUGAUUGUGGUAGCAGGUCUUCUGUCCUUCUUACAGAGAUAAAAGCAAGGAGCAGACUGGAUUUUUGUGGGAGAGAGAGCUUUUCAAGAAAUGCCCUCCUUGAAACCUCUUAUGGAAAUAAAAGGAACAUCUACAGCUGUGAAAGAAGCUAA
rnacentral:lncRNA from 1 species